rnacentral:rRNA from 1 species
UACGUAGGGGGCAAGCGUUGUCCGGAAUCAUUGGGCGUAAAGAGCGUGUAGGCGGCCCGAUAAGUCCGCCGUGAAAGUCACAGGCUCAACCUGUGAAUGCCGCUGGAAACUGUCUGGCUAGAGUCCGGAAGGGGCGAGUGGAAUUCCUGGUGUAGCGGUGAAAUGCGCAGAUAUCAGGAGGAACACCAAUGGCGAAGGCAGCUCGCUGGGACGGUACUGACGCUGAGGCGCGAAAGCGUGGGGAGCAAACAGG